GUGCUAUUCUGGUUUUUGACACUGGCUUUUAUUUUGACUAUGCUGACCUCUCCUAACCUGACUUUGGCUUGUUUACAGGUCAUGUUGUUAUUCUAUACUUCUUUAACCUCGGCUUGUUCCUUGACCAUUCUGUAUCUGCUUUUGACAAGACUUUAGCAUUAGGAAUCUAAAUUGCUAUUCCUAAUGCUUUAUUGUCCCUUCCCUCCCCUGUGCAUUACUUUUUUUUCAAAACAAUGUUUGACUUACCUGUAGCGCUGCGGGCCUCCCUUCCGCCCCCGUUGUUCUGUCAUUUACCUUUUUUCAGCAUAGAUGUCCCUUGGUGCUGGUUCAUGCUCUGCGUCCACUCCUCCGCCUACGUCAGGACCUAAUGCGCAUGCAUGGCGAUCGCCACAGGUUUUUCCCCAUAGGAAAGCAUUAUAUAAUGCUUUCCUAUGG